CCGUGCGAAGGUAGCGUAAUCACUUGUUCUUUAAAUGGGGACUAGUAUGAAUGGCAUCACGAGGGUCAUACUGUCUCCUUUUUCCAAUCAGUGAAACUAACUCCCCGUGAAGAAGCGGGGAUAAAACUAUUAGACGAGAAGACCCUAUGGAGCUUUAAACUCCAGGUUGGGGUGACCGCGGGGCACAAAAAAACCCCCACGUUGAACCUGAGCAAAGGGCCACAACCCUAUGCAUAUUGACCCAAUGAUCAACGAACCAAGUUACCCUAGGAUAACAGCGCAAUCUACUUCAAGAGCCCCUAUCGACAAGUGGGUUUACGACCUCGAUGUUGGAUCAGGGUGUCCCAGUGGUGCAGCCGCUAUAAUGGUUCGUUU
rnacentral:rRNA from 1 species